rnacentral:lncRNA from 1 species
GUUUAGUGGGUCGGAUGCAGAGGGUUCUAUUCCACAUUCAAGAAUGGACCUAGGAUCCUUCUGCUUGGGAGCUAAACCAACCCCAGGCAUCUUAGAGGAUCUUGGAAUGUCUUGUUUAUGGGCAACCUACAGGUCUCCCUUAGUAAAGCAACGAGGACAGGAAGACCAGAGAAGAGAGCCCAGAGACCCACAUGUGGACUCUACCCACCAUGGGAUGGAGGUCUUCCUUGGACCCUGGCACCACCUGAAUUUUCCUUGCCACUGCCCCACCUGAUGAGGGAGCACCACGCAUACCAGCAGAAGGACGCAAGGUU